rnacentral:rRNA from 1 species
GACGAACGCUGGCGGCGUGCCUAAUACAUGCAAGUCGAGCGAAUCAAUAGGAGCUUGCUCCUGUUGAUUAGCGGCGGACGGGUGAGUAACACGUGGGCAACCUGCCUGUAAGACUGGGAUAACUUCGGGAAACCGGAGCUAAUACCGGAUAAUCCUUUUCCUCUCAUGAGGAAAAGCUGAAAGUCGGUUUCGGCUGACACUUACAGAUGGGCCCGCGGCGCAUUAGCUAGUUGGUGAGGUAACGGCUCACCAAGGCGACGAUGCGUAGCCGACCUGAGAGGGUGAUCGGCCACACUGGGACUGAGACACGGCCCAGACUCCUACGGGAGGCAGCAGUAGGGAAUCUUCCGCAAUGGACGAAAGUCUGACGGAGCAACGCCGCGUGAGCGAUGAAGGCCUUCGGGUCGUAAAGCUCUGUUGUUAGGGAAGAACAAGUAUCGGAGUAACUGCCGGUACCUUGACGGUACCUAACCAGAAAGCCACGGCUAACUACGUG